rnacentral:rRNA from 1 species
UACGAAGGGGGCUAGCGUUGCUCGGAAUCAUUGGGCGUAAAGGGUGCGUAGGCGGCGCGGUAAGUCGGGUGUGAAAUCUCGGAGCUUAACUCCGAAACUGCAUUCGAUACUGCCGUGCUUGAGGACUGGAGAGGAAACUGGAAUUUACGGUGUAGCGGUGAAAUGCGUAGAUAUCGUAAGGAAGACCAGUGGCGAAGGCGGGUCUCUGGACAGUUCCUGACGCUGAGGCACGAAGGUCAGGGGAGCAAACGGG